CACGUAGGGCGCAAGCGUUGUCCGGAAUUAUUGGGCGUAAAGAGCUCGUAGGCGGUCUGUUACGUCUGCUGUGAAAGCCCGGGGCUUAGCCCUGGCCUUGCAGUGGAUACGGGCAGACUAGAGGUAGGUAGGGGAGAAUGGAAUUCCCGGUGUAGCGGUGAAAUGCGCAGAUAUCGGGAGGAACACCGGUGGCGAAGGCGGUUCUCUGGGCCUUACCUGACGCUGAGGAGCGAAAGCGUGGGGAGCGAACAGG
rnacentral:rRNA from 1 species